GUGAGGAAUAUUGGACAAUGGGCGAAAGCCUGAUCCAGCCAUGCCGCGUGUGUGAAGAAGGUCUUCGGAUUGUAAAGCACUUUAAGUUGGGAGGAAGGGCAGUAAGUUAAUACCUUGCUGUUUUGACGUUACCGACAGAAUAAGCACCGGCUAACUUCGUGCCAGCAGCCGCGGUAAUACGAAGGGGGCGAGCGUUAAUCGGAAUUACUGGGCGUAAAGCGCGCGUAGGUGGUUCGUUAAGUUGGAUGUGAAAGCCCCGGGCUCAACCUGGGAACUGCAUCCAAAACUGGCGAGCUAGAGUACGGUAGAGGGUGGUGGAAUUUCCUGUGUAGCGGUGAAAUGAGUAGAUAUAGGAAGGAACACCAGUGGCGAAGGCGACCACCUGGACUGAUACUGACACUGAGGUGCGAAAGCGUGGGGAGCAAACAGGAUUAGAUACCCUAGUAGUCC
rnacentral:rRNA from 1 species